GAUGAACGCUGGCGGCGUGCCUAAUACAUGCAAGUCGAGCGAACGGACGAGAAGCUUGCUUCUCUGAUGUUAGCGGCGGACGGGUGAGUAACACGUGGAUAACCUACCUAUAAGACUGGGAUAACUUCGGGAAACCGGCGCUAAUACCGGAUAAUAUUUUGAACCGCAUGGUUCAAAAGUGAAAGACGGUCUUGCUGUCACUUAUAGAUGGAUCCGCGCUGCAUUAGCUAGUUGGUAAGGUAACGGCUUACCAAGGCAACGAUGCAUAGCCGACCUGAGAGGGUGGUCGGCCACACUGGAACUUAGACACGGUCCUGACUCCUACGGGAGGCAGCAGUAGGGAAUCUGCCGCAGUGGGCGAAAGCCUGACGGAGCAACGCCGCGUGAGUGAUGAAGGUCUUCGGAUCGUAAAACUCUGUUAUGAGGGAAGAACAUAUGUGUAAGUAACUGUGCACAGCUUGACGGUACCUAAUCAGAAAGCCACGGCUAACUACGUG
rnacentral:rRNA from 1 species